CUCCUGUAGCCCAAUUUGGCAGCGGCGGUAGUCUUAGAAACUACGCGAUGGGGGUUCGAAUCCCUCCAGGAGAA
rnacentral:tRNA from 1 species